GAUGAACGCUGGCGGCGUGCCUAGUACAUGCAAGUCGAGCGAACGGACGAGAAGCUUGCUUCUCUGAUGUUAGCGGCGGACGGGUGAGUAACACGUGGAUAACCUACCUAUAAGACUGGGAUAACUUCGGGAAACCGGAGCUGAUACCGGAUAAUAUUUUGAACCGCAUGGUUCAAAAGUGAAAGACGGUCUUGCUGUCACUUAUAGAUGGAUCCGCGCUGCAUUAGCUAGUUGGUAAGGUAACGGCUUACCAAGGCAACGAUGCAUAGCCGACCUGAGAGGGUGAUCGGCCACACUGGAACUGAGACACGGUCCAGACUCCUACGGGAGGCAGCAGUAGGGAAUCUUCCGCAAUGGGCGAAAGCCUGACGGAGCAACGCCGCGUGAGUGAUGAAGGUCUUCGGAUCGUAAAACUCUGUUAUUAGGGAAGAACAUAUGUGUAAGUAACUGUGCACAUCUUGACGGUACCUAAUCAGAAAGCCACGGCUAACUACGUGCCAGCAGCCGCGGUAAUACGUAGGUGGCAAGCGUUAUCCGGAAUUAUUGGGCGUAAAGCGCGCGUAGGCGGUUUUUUAAGUCUGAUGUGAAAGCCCACGGCUCAACCGUGGAGGGUCAUUGGAAACUGGAAAACUUGAGUGCAGAAGAGGAAAGUGGAAUUCCAUGUGUAGCGGUGAAAUGCGCAGAGAUAUGGAGGAACACCAGUGGCGAAGGCGACUUUCUGGUCUGUAACUGACGCUGAUGUGCGAAAGCGUGGGGAUCAAACAGGAUUAGAUACCCUGGUAGUCCACGCCGUAAACGAUGAGUGCUAAGUGUUAGGGGGUUUCCGCCCCUUAGUGCUGCAGCUAACGCAUUAAGCACUCCGCCUGGGGAGUACGACCGCAAGGUUGAAACUCAAAGGAAUUGACGGGGACCCGCACAAGCGGUGGAGCAUGUGGUUUAAUUCGAAGCAACGCGAAGAACCUUACCAAAUCUUGACAUCCUUUGACAACUCUAGAGAUAGAGCCUUCCCCUUCGGGGGGGCAAAGUGACAGGUGGUGCAUGGUUGUCGUCAGCUCGUGUCGUGAGAUGUUGGGUUAAGUCCCGCAACGAGCGCAACCCUUAAGCUUAGUUGCCAUCAUUAAGUUGGGCACUCUAAGUUGACUGCCGGUGACAAACCGGAGGAAGGUGGGGAUGACGUCAAAUCAUCAUGCCCCUUAUGAUUUGGGCUACACACGUGCUACAAUGGACAAUACAAAGGGCAGCGAAACCGCGAGGUCAAGCAAAUCCCAUAAAGUUGUUCUCAGUUCGGAUUGUAGUCUGCAACUCGACUACAUGAAGCUGGAAUCGCUAGUAAUCGUAGAUCAGCAUGCUACGGUGAAUACGUUCCCGGGUCU
rnacentral:rRNA from 1 species